rnacentral:rRNA from 1 species
GAUGAACGCUGACAGAAUGCUUAACACAUGCAAGUCAACCGGAACGUCGGUUUGGUUGGCGGACGGGCGAGUAACGCGUAAAGAACUUGCCUCACAGUUAGGGACAACAUUUGGAAACGAAUGCUAAUACCAGAUAUUAUGAUAUUAGGGCAACCUAGAAUUAUGAAAGCUAUAUGCGCUGUGAGAGAGCUUUGCGUCCCAUUAGCUAGUUGGAGAGGUAACGGCGCACCAAGGCGAUGAUGGGUAGCCGGCCUGAGAGGGUGAACGGCCACAAGGGGACUGGGACGCGGCCCUUACUCCUUCGGGCGGCAGGGGUGGGGACUUUUCGACAAUGGACCACGUGUCUGAUCCAGCUCUUCUGUGUGCACGAUGAAGUUUUUCGGAAUGUAAAGUGCUUUCAGUUGGGAAGAACAAAAUGACGAUACCAACAGAAGAAGUGACGGCUAAAUACGUG